rnacentral:lncRNA from 1 species
CGGAAGAUCGGCUUCGGCCUUUCGAUAAGAUUGCGAGAAAUCGAUUUGAUUUCAGCUGCUAGAGGGAGGGAGCCUUUGAACAUACACUGUGCGCUUAGUGCUCUGUAUCAAUGGUUGGUUAGGCUAAGCCAGUCCAGGAAGGUUAAGAUGUCACCCUUUCUUGCAAUGCAGUCCUCUCCCCUUCCUUCUUCUUUGCUUGGCCCCAUUUACCACCACUGGGGCUCCCUUUGCAGCUUCCCCCUUAGGGCAAUGUGGCCCUCUACUGCUAGCUAGCAAGGACGCUAACGCUAGUGCCAAUCAAUCACUCUAUUCAUAAUAAAACUUACUUUUUGUCAGUUGCUUUACUUUGUUUCAUUUUGUUUGAAACAAGUUCAGAGCUCCUCCUCGUUUCAUUUCACACGGACAGGUGAGAGAGUAACCGACCUUGUCCUCGUUAUGUCUUGCUUCUAGAUGAACUGGUUGGUGUAGG